GUCCCCAUCGUCUAGAGGUCAGGACGCCACCCUUUCAAGGUGGAAACACGGGUUCGAGUCCCGUUGGGGACGCCA
rnacentral:tRNA from 1 species